rnacentral:rRNA from 1 species
CACAUGCAAGUCGAGCGGUAAGGCCCUUCGGGGUACACGAGCGGCGAACGGGUGAGUAACACGUGGGUAAUCUGCCCCAUACUCUGGGAUAAGCCUUGGAAACGAGGUCUAAUACCGGAUAUGACUCUUCACCGCAUGGUGGGGGGUGGAAAGUUCCGGCGGUAUGGGAUGAACCCGCGGCCUAUCAGCUUGUUGGUGGGGUAGUGGCCUACCAAGGCGACGACGGGUAGCCGGCCUGAGAGGGCGACCGGCCACACUGGGACUGAGACACGGCCCAGACUCCUACGGGAGGCAGCAGUGGGGAAUAUUGCACAAUGGGCGAAAGCCUGAUGCAGCGACGCCGCGUGAGGGAUGACGGCCUUCGGGUUGUAAACCUCUUUCAGCAGGGACGAAGCGCAAGUGACGGUACCUGCAGAAGAAGCACCGGCUAACUACGUGCCAGCAGCCGCGGUAAUACGUAGGGUGCGAGCGUUGUCCGGAAUUAUUGGGCGUAAAGAGCUCGUAGGCGGUUUGUCGCGUCGGCCGUGAAAACCUGCAGCUUAACUGUGGGCCUGCGGUCGAUACGGGCAGACUUGAGUUCGGUAGGGGAGACUGGAAUUCCUGGUGUAGCGGUGAAAUGCGCAGAUAUCAGG